rnacentral:RNase_P_RNA from 1 species
GUAAGCUGAGGGGACGGCUUCGCUCCUGUGUCAGAGCAGGGGUGAGGAAGUUCCAUCCACCUUAAGACAAAACCCCUGAGAAGGGGAGGUCAGUAUCAGAAACGAGACCUUUCGGCUGCUUAAGCUAUGAGCAAGAGUGAGUGCGGCUCGAAAGGAUGAAACGGACUGACCUGUCUGAUGGGGUGCAAGCUAAGCGCUUAGACAAAUGCCGUCUCGAACAGAAGAUGGGCUACUCUCAGCAUGC